GAGUGAACGCUGGCGGUAGGCCUAACACAUGCAAGUCGAACGGCAGCACAGGAGAGCUUGCUCUCUGGGUGGCGAGUGGCGGACGGGUGAGGAAUACAUCGGAAUCUACUUUUUCGUGGGGGAUAACGUAGGGAAACUUACGCUAAUACCGCAUACGACCUACGGGUGAAAGCAGGGGAUCUUCGGACCUUGCGCGAUUGAAUGAGCCGAUGUCGGAUUAGCUAGUUGGCGGGGUAAAGGCCCACCAAGGCGACGAUCCGUAGCUGGUCUGAGAGGAUGAUCAGCCACACUGGAACUGAGACACGGUCCAGACUCCUACGGGAGGCAGCAGUGGGGAAUAUUGGACAAUGGGCGCAAGCCUGAUCCAGCCAUACCGCGUGGGUGAAGAAGGCCUUCGGGUUGUAAAGCCCUUUUGUUGGGAAAGAAAAGCAGUCGGUUAAUACCCGAUUGUUCUGACGGUACCCAAAGAAUAAGCACCGGCUAACUUCGU
rnacentral:rRNA from 1 species